rnacentral:rRNA from 1 species
CCUACGGGCGGCAGCAGUGAGGAAUAUUGGUCAAUGGGCUUACGCCUGAACCAGCCAAGUCGCGUGAGGGAAGACUGCCCUAUGGGUUGUAAACCUCUUUUGUCAGGGAGCAACGCCGGCUACGUGUAGCCGGACUGAGAGUACCUGAAGAAAAAGCAUCGGCUAACUCCGUGCCAGCAGCCGCGGUAAUACGGAGGAUGCGAGCGUUAUCCGGAGUUAUUGGGUUUGCAGGGUGCGUAGGCGGAAUGCCAAGUCAGCGGUAAAAUCGCGGGGCUCAACCUCGCUCCGCCGUUGAAACUGGCGUUAUGUAGUGGGCGAGAAGUAUGCGGAAGGCGUGGUGUAGCGGUGAAAGGGAUAGAUAUCACGCAGAACUCCGAUUGCGAAGGCAGCAUACCGGCGCCCAACUGACGCUGAAGCACGAAAGCGUGGGUAUCGAACAGGAUUAGAUACCCUAGUAGUC